rnacentral:rRNA from 1 species
CGCUAUCACUCCUACGGGAGGCAGCAGUGGGGAAUCUUGGACAAUGGGGGCAACCCUGAUCCAGCCAUGCCGCGUGAGUGAUGAAGGCCUUAGGGUCGUAAAGCUCUUUCGCCUGUGAUGAUAAUGACAGUAGCAGGUAAAGAAAACCCCGGCUAACUCCGUGCCAGCAGCCGCGGUAAUACGGAGGGGGUUAGCGUUGUUCGGAAUUACUGGGCGUAAAGCGCGCGUAGGCGGAUUAGUCAGUUAGAGGUGAAAUCCCCAGGGCUCAACCCCUGGAACUGCCUUUAAUACUGCUAGUCUUGAGUUCGAGAGAGGUGAGUGGAAUUCCGAGUGUAGAGGUGAAAUUCGUAGAUAUUCGGAGGAACACCAGGUGGCGAAGGCGGCUCACUGGCUCGAUACUGACGCUGAGGUGCGAAAGUGUGGGGAGCAAACAGGAUUAGAUACCCUGGUAG